CUUUAAUCCAUCCCUACUGACGUUCAAGGCGUCUUCAAAGCGAUGCCUUAGCAAACUUCAAGGCGCCAUGGCGACACGUUACUAGCCAAGGUGGACGCCUUAGUCUCUGGUCUAAGGCGAGAGGGACACCUUGCCGCUGCUUCUUACCGCCUAAGCGUCACCUAAGCGACACUUCAAGGAUGCCUAAACAACUAUGCUACUAGCUUAUUAGACUGCUAGUGAAUUGUGGACAUAAGAUUAUAUAGGAGCAAAUUUGAAAAGGUGUACUUGUUGUAGUAGACCUGUGCUUCAAGAAUUUCAGGAUUGAAGUACCAUGAGCUUGAUGUAGUACCACUUAGGUAUGCUUAACCUACAUUGUAAGUAGAACAUUUGUUACCAUAUUUUUUAAGACAAAUAAUGCAGUUGUUCUUCUGAAAAGAUUGGAUCAUAACCUUUGAAUCUUUUAGCAAGAAAGCCAACAAGCAGUAUGACGAUAGGCUGGUUGUUGCUUUGAUUAUAAACACAGUGGCAGAAAAGGUUGAUGCUUGAUCUCCCCAAAGAGUAAUUUUUAAAGACAUAUCACUGAAGUAAUAAGAAUACUAUGGCUAGUAUAAAUACACUGUCUCUUAGAAGGAUUAGUGUUGAGAAGAUUUCUUAGUACUUGUCACACAUUUUAUAUGGCAAGAUCGUAGCAGUAAUACAUAAGGGAGAAUUUUGUACCUUAUAUCUUUGAUGAAGACGUCUCUGAUCAUGGUUGAAUUGUUGUAACCAGUUAGAUGUGGAGGACCAAUUUGUUAUUUGUGUCAACAUUCCAAUGACAUCUAUGUUUGUUGGAGAAGUAGGUUAGUCUGAUGUAAAUAUUAUGCAUAAUUUUGCAUGAAGACCUUAGAUAUUGAAUCACCAUCAAUCCGUGCUAAAGGUAUUAGUGGCUCAGGCCUAGGGCUGUAAGGAGGAAGGCAGACUUUACCAUUUUUUCAACAGUUGUUGUAAACGAUGGAUCGAGAUCCAGAGUAGUGAGUACACUGGCAUGACGGUGAUCCACAAUGAGAUCGAGCAUUGUAGGAAGCUGCAUUCUGGUACACAAUGGAAGAAAAUGUAAUCAAUUAUAAGUAAAGGCUAGUAAAAAAAAUUGGUGUCCUAUUUUCUACAUUCGCACCAAACCUUUUUAUAUUUAUCUAGCAAAUGUAAAUGUAUAAUGUAUUAAUCUGCAUUUGAUCGUACCUUUGAUUAUUUUAACAAAUUCUAGGUCAAAGUGACCACACUGCAAUGUUGGAACCUGUCAUGAAGUUGUGCCCGCACCUAAUAUAGUUUAUUCUCUUUCUUAGCACUAGGCAAUCACGCGAAUCGUUGGGAAAAAUUGCUAAAGGUGCUACCUACGGACGACAACCUUCGUUCAUUGAAUAGUUGCUUACAUAUGCGAUAUGCUUCGCUUGGAGGUAUAGCUGAUGGAGCACAACAUGCAUUGCUAUGAUCUGUCAUGACAAAUUUGUCAUGAGCAUAUAUCACAGCCUAUGUGGUAAAUAAAAUUAAAAUUUGUUUUUGGAUUCUAAUGAUGCGUCCCAUGAAAACUCUAAGGCACUUACUCCUUUUUCUGUUGUUUGGGUUGACACGCUCCAUUUGAAUACAUUGUUAUAGAUUUCCUUGUCCAAAAGUUUACGACACUAGCAUAUGUUGUUUAUGUUAUGAACCUGCAUUUUUAAGAAUUUUGUGAAUUAACUGUAUGGCUCACUCAUGCAAUAAACCUUAUAUAUACCAAGAAGUGGCAUACAUAAAUGUUUACAUGGAUCAGUUAUGUGGUGUUCUUUUGGUAUAUGUGCAUUGAAUGCAUGUAUGUCAAAUCUAAUAUGUAUAGGAUAAUCUCAUAUGUAUUGAGAAGUCUCCAGUUUAUAAACAGAAAUUAAAAACCUAGGUAGCACAUAAAUUCAUUGCACAAAAUAAAACUCUAUCAUUCGUGCAUCAUGUAUCGUACUUAAAGUGCGAAAAAGAUAACAUGUUAAAAUAAGUGCCAAUUACCUCGUUAGCGAAGUCUCUAACGAUCUGAGGUCCUCUUCGACAUGUUUCAACGAAACAACAUGAAUAAACAUAAACUAAAGCAUAGACAACAUAUAAGUUCAGUGCGGAAAAUGAAAUUGUAACCAUCACAGACCAUUUAGCAUGGCAGUAGUGUGAAUGAAGAACAUGUUUAAGUAAGUGAAAAUUACCUUUGUAGUAAAAUCUCUAAGGAUAGGAUAUAUUAUUCCUUGUGCCCGGAUCAAAUUCUGCCUGAAUGUCGGGAAAUAAGUUUAGAACAUAGAAUUAACCCUUUUUACAUGCCCGUAGUAAUACAACAAAUCUGUAAACCCUGUUUGAUCCCAAGCUGCAAUAGUAAUUACCUUUGUUUAUCAAUAGAUACCCUGUCUGUUGAUUUUAAUGUGGGUUGGAUGCAUGAACUGAUCUUAGGAGACAUAUAUAAAAAAUGAGAGACAAGGAAAUGUUCGGAACGGGCAGGAAAUAAAAACUACAUUUGGGUAAAGUGAACAAAAAAAUAAAGACGAAGAACUCAAGGAAAGGUAGAAAAUCAGAAGCAACACUGCUAUUACUUCUUAGAAUAGCAACACUGUUAUUUGCAAAUAGUCAAAGUUUGUUAACGAAUCCAAAGCAUUUUAGAAAUCUAGAGUUGUUCUCCGUUACAUGACUCAGCAAAGCAGUUGACCUAUACACUUACAAAUUAUGUUGGGUUGGGCGCUGUCACCCUUUUCAGAUUCUUAACUGGUUUAAGUGGUAUGUACCUUUUUCUAAUGAACAUAAUAGCAGUGUUCGGUGCGCACUAUGUAUUUUCAGCACAUAACGUUUUCCAACAUAUAUUUUAGGAAUGAGUUUGCUCAGGUUAUUCUUGUAGCAAAGAAGGCUAUGAAGUAUGAACUACACUAAUUAGCCAAUGGCUACGAGCCUUUAUGUAAUUUUGUUUAUUUUCUCUAUUAUCUUUUUGCACCAGAUGUUGUGAAUCACUUAGCAGGCAAUUACAAUACGGAGACUGAAAGCAAGCGUAUUCCAAGAUGAAAGAAAGUGCAAGGUUUUUUUUCUGUUGCACAAAUGGAGCGACAUCAGAUAGCCAGAGAAUAGAAUAAAGAGGGGAGAGGGACAGGAGUAAGGUCUGACUUUAAAAAAUGGCACAAAAACUGUUUUGUUGGCCAAAUGAAACGCAGGCAAUACACACAUCUUAGAAUGGAACAGAGAAACCAGGGAUUAAAUCCAAAAGCUAAAUCUAGGGAAAAGCAUAAACAGUAAACUUUGGGGAAAAUUUGAAGAAUAGAGACGUUCAGUCAAUGCACAAAGUAAAAUAGUGGCAUCUUAGAACCUCAAUGUUUGUUGGUCAAAUGAAAUACGAGCAAUAUACAGGUCUUAGAAUGGAGCACAAAAACCAAGGAAUAGCUUGAAAAGCUAAAACCAGGGAAACCCUAAACCCUAAACAUUGAAAAAAAGUUUGAAGAACAGAGACGCUCAAUCAAUUAGCUAAGUAAAAUAGUGGCCUUUUCGAACCUCAAUGUAUCGACAAAAAAGGAAAAUGAAGUAUGCGCUUCGAUGCAAACAGUUUCACCUGAAUGAAAUCAGAUGUCCACCAAAAACAAAACAGACGAGGAUAAAAAAGGAAAACUUAGCUCAACCAAAAAGGAUCAUUUUUUCUGAAAAAGAAACGAACCCUGAAGCCCAGGAAAAAGAAAAAACAAAAUUGGAGAGCACAAACAAGAGAACACGACCUUUCGGUAGAAGGGUGGAAUCUAAAAAAAGAAAAAUGAAGUUUGCACAUUUUCCAAACCAUUUUAUGCAAAAAAGGCAGUGACAUAUUCACACGCUGUAGGGAAAACCUAAACGAAUCUAGCAGUGCCAAGCAGACAAAUGGAAGAUUGAAGGAUUUAAAAAGCGAGAGGGCGUUGGAUAUUUCCAAUCUAGAACCAGAUACCCACCGAGAAGGAGCAGACGACCGGGGAGAAAAGAAAUUGUAUCUCACCAAACAAACGGAGCCGAGGUGGAUGCCAAUACUAGAUGAAGCGUUUGUGCUGAAGCCGAGCAAACGAGGAAGCCGACACGGAUGAAAUGAAAGCACGUAGAGAGGAGGAAAACGGAGGAAGACGAAAC
rnacentral:lncRNA from 1 species